rnacentral:rRNA from 1 species
UACGUAGGGGGCGAGCGUUAUCCGGAAUUACUGGGCGUAAAGCGCACGCAGGCGGUUCGCCAAGUUUGGAGUGACAGUUGUCGGCUCAACCGACAAAGGACUUCAAAAACUGGUGAACUUGAGGACGAGAGAGGAACAUGGAACUCCAGGUGUAGUAGUGAAAUGCGUAGAUAUCAGGAGGAACACCGAGUGGCGAAGGCAGUGGGCUGGGCCGGCACUGACGCUGGAGGAGCGAAAGCCGUGGGGAGCGAACAGG